rnacentral:rRNA from 1 species
AGUGAACGCUGGCGGUAGGCCUAACACAUGCAAGUCGAACGGCAGCACAGUAAGAGCUUGCUCUUACGGGUGGCGAGUGGCGGACGGGUGAGGAAUACAUCGGAAUCUACUUUUUCGUGGGGGUUAACGUAGGGAAACUUACGAUAAUACCGCAUACGACCUACGGGUGAAAGCAGUGGAUCUUCGGACCUUGCGCGAUUGAAUGAGCCGAUGACGGAUUAGCUAGUUGGCGGGGUAAAGGCCCACCAAGUCGACGAUCCGUAGCUGGUCUGAGAGGAUGGUCGGCCACCCUGGAACUGAGACACGGUCCAGACUCCUACGGGAGGCAGCAGUGGGGAAUAUUGGACAGUGGGCGCAAGCCUGAUCCAGCCAUACCGCGUGGGUGAAGAAGGCCUUCGGGUUGUAAAGCCCUUUUGUUGGGAAAGAAAAGCAGCAGGUUGAUACCCCGCUGUUCCGACGGUACCCAAAGAAUAAGCACCGGCUAACUUCGUG